rnacentral:lncRNA from 1 species
AAUCAUGUUUAUAAAUGUUAGAUUAUGUUGGCGCGAAACACUUACAAACCCUUGAUUAAUACUGUUAUAAGGGGCAUUUAUUGCAUCGUAUUAUCUCAGACUUGACUAGCUUGCUUGGUUUGGACUUAAGCAUGAUAAGAAUAGGGGCUCAAAAAAUUAAUUUCAAUUUUCUUUUAGUUUUUUUACUUCUCCCUCCACCAGUUACACACCUCACUCAAUAAAAUGUCCUACGAACACCAGAACUUCACUAUGCACUACGUGCAACGAACAUAAUUAUAUUUUCCACUUUGUAAUUGUGCAGAGACUUUCAUAAUUUUCUUUCAAAUUAACACUACCAAUCUUUAUUAGAACCAAAAAAUGGAAAAACUUAUUGAUUUGCACAAUUUACUAGAUUUUAAAAUUGCCAGAUACUUUUUAUGAAGGGAAAAAAAAACAAACUUUAACGAAAAGCAUUCGGUACUGUUCACUUUAACGAAAAACCACAUUUUUGCCCUAAAAAAUCAAUCCUGGUACUAUUCACUUUAUCAUUUAUUUUGUCCUUAUCAUUAAAACUCAAAGUUUUCAAGUCUCUUUCAUUAGUUUUCUUAAAAAAAAAUUAUGCGUGAACAACACUUCUCACAAAAAAAAAAAAUAAUGAAAUAUAUAAAUACAUACCAAAGUAAAUGUUUGCACACACUAACAUGCAAUAUAUGCAGUUUUUCAUUUUGUCAAACAAAUACAACAUAGCACAUUAAAGACAUUUUGUAAAUCCUAUGGGUUGGUUAAUAUGGGCAACAACCUUGGGUUUGGUUGUCAAGUACUUAGCAGGAUCUUCGAAAUUGUUCCAUAACACUGCUCCGAAAUUGCAUUCUUUAAUCCCUGCUUGCAAAUGCAAAAGUGGUUAUCAAUCGCUCCCUACUACUGUAAAAGGGAGAUAAUGAUAGAACUAAUUCAAUGUGAAAAACUAUAAGCUUCAAUGAAAUCAAAUGACAGGAGAAAAUUAAUGCAAGUCACCACUUCUUGAGGAUGAAGAGGGAGAGCAUCGAUGAAUAUUUUACUUCAAAUUAAGGGAUUUCUUCUAAGGAGGUUUAUAGGGUUACCUAUUUGCAAGAUGACAUUUAUGUAAACCUGUGUGGAUAACGGAGAACAUGUAGUUAAUAUAUUAUAGUUGAGAAAAGCUAUCUUUCUUCUUGUAGUUCAUUUGUAAAUUUAUAAGAAUACCUCAUGUUUAUGUAUUACCAUCACCCAGCUUUAAACCAUAUAAACAUGUGUGGAUGACUGAUUUUGUAACGUAAAAGAUAGAAAAUCAAGAUGACAUUUAGAAGUCAAGAUAAGUAGGAAAGGGAUGCAAAAAAGAAGUGGGAAAGGGAUGCAAGAUAAGUGGAAGUCACAAAGCGGAUAGCUUUUCAUAUGGCCUCAAGGUUGAUAAAUUUACAAUGGUUAAGGAUGCAAAUCCGAUAUCUCCAUAAGUUUGAGUCAGUAGAGGCACUUGAAAAUAGAAUGAUAAGAUGGUAACUUCAUUCUGGUUAAUCGAAUGUUUUAGCUAGCAGCAAGUGGGUCAAGGCUCGAUGCCAAAGUCAUAAACUAUGGUUUUAAAGCACAUUUCAGCCACCAAAACCCAGAGUACUCAUGUCAAAUAUUAACAGCCAAAAUCCUGAGUACACACGAUAAACUAUAAUUCAUUAAUGGGAAUGAAACAUCUGAGAAAAUGUGAACUCAACAACCAAAACCCAGUGUACCCAUGUCAAAUAUUAACAACAAAGGAAUUUAUGUAUGUAUGUCAGGAAUCAAACAAAAAAUUAUCACCCAAAAUAAAAAUCAAUCAGGGGUGCUUUAUGUAAUAGGAAGCCCAGAACCACUGUUCUAAGUGUUAGGCGGUUGGCCACCACCCCGAUUAAUGCCUAGACAUUUGAAAAUUAAGAAAGGGCGUAUUGACUUGUUGAGGCACCCUCCUAGACCGCCUCGAGACCCGCCUAGACCGCCUAACCCGUCUAGAUCUGCCUAGGCAUCCGCCUAGGUCACAACUCACUUAAACAGAAAAUAGAUCACUUUCAUUUUGCAUUUUAUUUUUCAAUAAAUUGUAAGAGACUUGUUGCAUACUUAAAUGAACACACAUUAUAUCCUUGUUCCCCAUGAUUUCAUUAUGUUUCAAUACUUCAUAAUGUAUAUGUCAUUCUAUUUUGUAGUUUAUGAUGAAAUUAUAUAUAUUUUAAAUAUAAAUACGUACUUAUUUACACGAAAUAUAAUAGAUUUUACUUAAAUCCGCCUAGUCCGCCUAGGCCCCGUCUAGCCGCCUAGGUUCUUGGUCCAAACCCGCCGCCCUACUAGCGCCUUUUAGAACCUUACCCAAAACAAAAUAAAAAAACGGCUAUAUGGGUUAUAGAUCAGAAAAUGGUGCUUUUGCAUGCUCAAAAGAUUGUUAAAAGGCCAUAAAAUGGUGAUUAUUAUGUAACCAAAUUGGAGAAUUUUGGAUAAGAUUAAACAACAAUAAGCAGGGAACAAAGAAAAAAUUGCAAUCAAUUUACAAAAACUUAGCAAUAAGUUCACAUAAGGAAAAAUAGCAGAUAAAUUGGGUAGCAAUCAAUUAAAAAGCGCACCCAAUCACAGAACACAAAUGUACACGCACCCAAUUUUUGUGCUAGAAAUUCAAAAUUUUUAGAGAUUUCGCAUGCAAACAAUGAAAUCAAUCAAAACCCAAUAAUAAUUACGAUCUGCAAAACAAAAUUGAAGAAAUUGAUUGUCAAAUUCAGAAUUUACCAAACAGGACGAGGAUGAAGGAGCGGGACGAGGAUGAGGGAGCAGAAUGAGCAUGACCAGGAUGGGUUAGCAGGACCAGGACGAGCGAGCAACUGUCUCGAAGAUGGUCGUAGCAAUCCGAUGAUAUUGGGGUUCUCGCUAAGAACUUCUAGUGAAGCAGUUUGUUGGAGCAAGUUUGACUUAAUCCCAUUAAACUUAAUUCUUCUGUCUAACAAACACAAGAUUACACUAACAAUUAGUCCUAUUCAGUUCAAUGAGAUCUAGUGAGCCUAAACAAACACACCCUAAGAGCUUAAUGUAGUAACAGUUGAGUCCCUUCCCCCUUUAAAGAAAAUUAAUGAAAAAUGCUUCAAAACUUUACAUUUUAAUAAAAAAUUAUUUAGUAACUUUAUUUAAUGAUAAAGAUAAAAAAAAUAAAAAAUUUAAACAUGCAUGUGCCUAGCCCGCGUCCCCCUCUCCCCCCCCCCCCAAUAUAACCAAAUAAGAAAAAGUAAAUGAAAACACACUACACAUACAUAUGAUAUUAUGUAUGAAUUAGCUAACUGUAACAACGAUGACACCUAUUUUUAGGCCUUUGACAAAAUAAGUUAACACAAACACACGUCUGGUGCUAUAAUCUCGUAAGUUUCACAAACAGUGUAGUACUAUUAAAUUUCAUAAACAAUGUUAAGUUUCAUAAACAGUAUAGUAAGUUUCAUAAACAAUGUGUAUGUAGACGCACGGUCCCCUGCGUUAGUUUUUUUUUUUUUUAAAUUAUGUCUUUUUCAUUAAAAUUUAAAGUUCUUUUGUCAUUUUUAUUAAAGUUUAAGAGUUUUUCAUUAAUAUUUAAGUAUUUUUUAUUAAAUAAAGUUAUAGCAUGAUUUUUUGUUAAAAUAAAUUUAAUCAAAUGCCUUUUCAUGAAAGUUCCCUUUCUUUAUUGUUUCAAAACCGAGUUUUAAGUAUUUUUUUUUUUCUAAUAUGAAUGAAGUUCUGAGGACCUUAUUCGUAGAGACGUCUCCGAACUGAUUAAAUGGCAGUUCAGUAAUUGACUAACUUUUAUGUAAUAUUUCAGCUGGUAGAAAGAAGCAAAUCCAACUCAUUGGUACUUGUCACUGGACAAUCUUUUGGAGGCGCUGUAGCUACCCUUUUCACCUUAUGGCUGCUAGAAAGCCUCGACUUAUCGAAAGUGAAACGUCCCCUUUGUAUCGCUUUUGGUUCACCUUUGAUCGGUGACAAACAAUUCGGACAAUGUGUGUUGCAAUUCCCAUUGUGGAGUUCUUGCUUCUUGAAUGUAGCCUCCAUCGAUGAUCCUGUACUUCAAUUCUUCCAAACCGCUUCGCAAGCGAGUGGUUAUAAGCCUUUCGGAACAUUCCUACUGUGCUCCUCUUCGGGUGGUUCUUGCUUUGAGGACCCUGAUGCCAUUUUGCAACUAUUGGUGGAAACCAGCUCUCGGUGUGCCCAAAAUCCAGGUCUGAAUUCAGGGAUUCAGUUGUUCGAUUACGGAAAGAUUUUGAAUGAUCUCAAGACUAAGGCAUUGUCUAGAGAUGUCUUUGAGUUGGUUGAAGAGGAUAGAGUUCCACUUAAAGCUGGAAUUAAAACACAGUUGGCAGCAAUAUUAGGAGUUCUCAGCUCACAGGUAUCAAACUUUCAACAGAAAUAUCUGAUUUGAUGAUGAUUUUGGGAAAUGGGUUCCGCACAAACCUGUUUAUUUCCAUCUCUUGAUUCUCCUUUGAUUUAUUUAAUCCAAAGACUAGAAAUAAACACGGGUGUGCAGGGGGGGAAUAUGAGAUUGCGGAAAUCACACCCCAUGUUUUGCUUCUAGCUACUAACUUUUCUCUCAACUACUUUUGUAAAAGUCAUUGCAGCAGCAACAACCCAACAUAGAAUUCGAAAGUCUGAUGAAAAAGAUGGUCACUCACGAACGUAAACUAGCGAUGCAGAAGACGAAGGUUUACAGUUCCUACUUGAAACUGAAUGAGAUGGAAAAGUACAUGGCCUACAUGGAAUGGUACAAGAUGUCGUCCGAAGACAUGGGAAUAGGAUACUAUGACAGGUACAGAAACAAGCGUUACGCGAGUGACAUUAUGGCCGAAGAGUACAAGAGGACGCUCUCAAGGUAUUGGCAUGACACGGUUACAGAAGCUGCGAACAAGCCCCGGCAAGAAGGAGCCGCAAUGCCAGCCCCUUUUCUUUUUGCUGGAACGAAUUACAGAAAGAUGAUCGAACCACUUUGCAUUGCAGAGUACUACAAGGAAGGUGGAAAAGAUUACAUAGAGGAAAGGCCUGGACAUUUCGUUCUUUUGGAGCAAUGGUACAAUGAAGAGGAGGAAAAUAAGAAGAAAGAGAGGGAAGAAAAGGAGAACCCACAACUGCGCAGCGCAAGCAAGCCCAAUUCAAAAGCGAAGAACGAGGCUCCUAAUCUGAAUGAUGAUUCUUGUUUUUGGGCGCACGUCGAGGAAGCGCUUAUCUGGUGCAACGAACAAGCGAGUAAUCCAGAUGCUAAGCCAAUGACCGAAUAUGAGCUUUACGUUCUGAAUAUGCUCGAGAAUUUCGCAGUUACGGUUGAUAUUUUCUUGAAAAAUAGCAGCUUCAUGCAUUGGUGGAACAAGUAUAAAGUAAUUGUGGGAAGCAACUACUCCUCAGCAUUUACCGAGGUCAUGAAGCGUAAGACUUAUCGCAAAUAUGCGGAUGGGGUCUCAGUUCGUACUGAUCAAUAAUCCAAUAUAAUUAAGUUUUAAGCAAGCAAUUAAAUCAGAUAAAGCAAGAUUAAUUUUGCUGUAUCGCUUAUGAUCUUCAUAGAGAGACGUGCAUUACUUGCAGGGCUUGUUGGUGCUACUAGUACUACUUUUGGAUAUUUUAAUUUGUUUGUGGUUUCUUUUUGUGUGGGGGUAAUGUUUCAAGGGGUAAAUCUCAGUUUAGUAUUCUUAAAUUUUGUGUUUUUCAACAUGUAGUACAUUAAGUUAUUUUUGUCUCCGAGUUAUACUUAAAUUGUUAAUUUUGGGACAGUCUCAUACAUCCGUUAGUCUGACUGUUAAGUCUCCCAUUAAUUGAUGAUGCGACGCCUAUGUGAACAAUAACUGGACGUCAUGUGUCAUUAAAAGGUUCACGUGGAAAUUCAAAAAAAAAAAAAAAAAAAAACCGAAAUUUCAAAAUUCAAAAUUUUAAAAUUUCAAAAAUUAAUAAAUUAAAAAAAGGUGGGGAUAAUUUCUUCCUCUAUCCCCGUCCCUUUUUCUCUCUUAUGCAAUUAUUGAGCUCUCCUUUGAAUCUCAGAUCCCCAGCAACCCUUGCCCUUGCGACCUUGUAACCCUUAGCAGAGGUUUGCAAACCUCGUAACCAUCGCCUUUUGUUACGAUCCAAUUCUCUAAACCCUUAAUCAACUGGCAAGUAACACAGAGGGUCGAGAGGAGGAGGGAAGGAGGAAGGUAGAAGGAGCGGAGCUCCAAUAUUUUUGUUUAUAUUUCUUUUUGUGUAAAUUCUCAUCUGAUUACAAUAGUGAGAGCUAGUGCUCUUGAGUCUUAUACAAGUCACAACUCAUCAUGCCAGCUAGCUAAUUAUAACAAACUUCACUAAAACAGGAAUAAGCCUAAUAAUCCCAAGAUUAAAACCCUUAAUAGUGAUUAAGCUAAUCACUAAUUACAGAUCAUAUCAUUACUCCCCCCUUGAAAAACAACCUUGUCCUCAAGGUUAGGAUUAGCACUUGAAAUCUGGAACUUUUUCGCAGUGAAUUCAUCAUAAGCCUCUUUGCUUUUAUUGUCUGACCAAGGCACUGCACCAAAACUUGGACUGCAAAAACCUUGGUUGAUAUCUGCAACCUAUCCCAGAUGCUGAAAAAAAAAAAAAAGAGAACAAGCUUUGGAGAUGACUCCCCGCGAAGCCUUGAUGUCUCAGCUGGAAAGAAUUUCUCCCCGUCAUGUGAUGUAUGCAGAUUAUCCCUUACAAUCAAUUCUGGACCUUCCAAGCUGAGUCUCCCUGAAACAGAUGGGAAAUUUAUUAGAAAAAUAGAUCAGCCCACAUGUGUGUAAUCUAUAUACAAAAAAUCACUCUCUUCAUUAGCCAAAUCGUUUCACAAAUCCCAAAACACAGAACUAUAUCUUGAACAGUGCUAAUUAAUGAUUUCCCAUUUACUUAAGCCCAACAUCAGCGCCAAUGAACUGAUGAAAGAGCGAAAAAGAGAAACAAAAAACCUCAAUGAAGCAAUUAAAUGGAGAAUUACUUGAUAGUGCUGGAAAAUUACUACAAAACGUUUGAAAAUUACCCAUUAAGAUUAUAAAAAAUUAAAAAAAAUUAAAAAAAAAAGAUGAUGUGGAGUGGAGUGGGAAUCACAUACCGCCAUCACCUUUAAAUAUGUAGUGCUCCCCUGAAAGAGCAUCAAGAGUGACUGUGCAGAGAAACGAAUGAUUGAAAAAUUCAAGCUCUGAGCUCAAAGUUGGGGCUUCCACUUUCCAACUGGGGAAGAAAUAAUAAAGAAAACACAGAAUCCAUCAAAAAUAUUAAUCAAAUGGGUUUCUUCUAAUUCAAAAUUUGGACCACCCAAAUUCUGAUGAAGAAAUAACCAUUCAAAAUUCCAACAGAUUGAAGCUCUCACAGACUACAAAUUAUCAAUACCCAGCAAUAAAAAAUUUGAAAACAGUAAUAAUGAAGGAAAAAGAAAUUAAAGCUGCGAGCCAUUCUCUAAAUCUCAGGCACCAAUCCAAAUCACCAGUAAUUUGCACAUAAUGAUAAGAAUCUAGCAGUAUUUCCAUUGUUUAAAACCCAAAUUCUAGAAAUCAUGAAAAAUGGAAACUUUAUAUGGAAAUUGAAGCUUUACCUGCAGAUUAGCAGCAGCAAACGAAUCCAACGGCAUAUACCUCAAAAGUGAGUGACAGAGAAAGAGAGAGCUAAGAGAUGAGUGAGAGAAUCGAUAAACAAAAACCCCCAUAACCACAAAAGGAAAUUUGAACAAAAACAAAUAUGCAAAUCCAAAAUCACAAAAACGAAAUGAAACACCCACACCGAGAAAGUUGUAAAACUCACCAGAAGCACAGUGCUUCCCAAAAUUCUAGUUGUUUCACUCCUCUCUUCCCCAAAUUUACAGGUAUGUUUUUCUUUUCUGUAAUCUGAUUAUAAAUUAUUAAAGAUGAUUACACGAACCACCGAAAUCACCACCAAAUUUCAACAAAGAAGUAACUAAGCACAACAAAAAGAAGAAGAAAAAAAAGGUUAAACUCUGUUUACUACCCUCAUGUUUCGUGGUUUUCAACAUUUAGUACAUCAAGUUUUUUUCGUCCCAGAGUCAUACCUAAAGUGUUAAUUUUGGAACAAUCUCAUACAUCUGUUAGUCAAACUGUUUAUUCUCCCGUUAAGUGAUGACGUGGCACCUAUAUGGACAAUGACUGGACUCCAGGUGUCAUUAAAUAUAUUAAAAUAAUUAAUUAAAUAAAAGUUUUAAAAAAAAAACCCAUCCCUCCUUCCCCCCUCCCCCAACCCAACCCAACCCAGAAGAAGAAAAAGGUGGAGGAAGAAAAGGGAGAAAAAGAAACCAAAUCUGGGAAGAAGAAGAAGGAAAAAAAAACCGAAUUUGGGAAGAAGAAGAAGAAGAAGAAGAAUGAGGAGGAAGAAGAUGAAGAAGACGAAGAAGAAGGAGGGAGAAGAAGAGAAAGAAGAGGAAGAAGAAGAAGAAGAAGAAGGAAGAAGAAGAAAAAAAAAACCGAAUCUGGGAAGAAAAAGAAGAAGAAGAAGAAAAAAAAAACCGAAUCUGGGAAGAAGAAGAAAGAAGAAGAAGAAGGAAGAAGAAGAGGAAGAAGAAGAAGGAGAAGGAGGAAGAAUGAUGAAGUAGAAGAAGAAGAAAAAAAAAACUGAAUAUGGGAAGAAGAAGAAGAAGAAGAAGAAGAAAAAGAAAAAAAACAGCAGCCCAAACCCAGUUCGUCCCCCUCCCCCCUGCAACCCACCUGCCUUCUCCCUCGUCCCGCGAACACGACCCACCUGUCUUCCUUCUUCUUCUUCUGGGUUACAAAUUCGAUUUUUUUUCUUCUUCUUCUUCUUCUUCUUCUUCUUCUUCUUCUAGGGGGGGCGGGGGAGAAGGAUGGGGUUUUUUUUUAAUUUAUAUUUAAUUAAUUAUUUUAAUUUUUUUUUAAUGAGACGUGGCACCCAGUCAUUGUCCACAUAGGCACCACGUUAUCACUUAAUGGGAUAAUUAACAGUUUGACUAACGGAUGUAUGAGACUGUCCCAAAAUUAACAUUUUAGGUAUGACUCUAGGAUGAAAAAAACUUGAUGUACUAAAUGUUGAAAACCACGAAACAUUAGGGUAGUAAACAGAGUUUAAUAAAAAAAAAUCAAAUAUUUGGCUUUUGGGUAUUUGAGAAAAAGUGAGAUUUAAUUACCUGUCACAGGCUACAGUAAUUGGGAGCACGAUGGGGCGGCGAGGAGAUUGAACAGAUAAGGAAGCAAAGAUCGAACAUAUAUCACGAAGCGGAAUCAAAAUCGUCAAUCGUGUUGCAGAGCACAGUUUUUUCCUUUUUGGAUUUCUGCGGUUUCUGAGGAAGAAGUCGAGAGACUUAUUGGACACCUAAGGUUAUAACCGACCUUUUAAUGUGUAAUGUACACAAAAAAGCAAGACUUGAAGAGCAACUGAAGGGCAAAAUGGGAAGAACAUUGUCGAAGGAACAGUGUUUCAGUUCUUUUUCUCUUUUAGUUAAUAUAAUAUAAUUGCUAUGCUAAAACCCAUAGUUCAGAGAAGAAUCUUGCAUGAUCACUAACAACGUAAGGGAAAAUCAAACUUUGUGUUGCUUGUUUUAUGAAUCUCUUUAUUUUUUAUUUCAAAUUUAUGAGUGUCUCACUUUUCCACAGUUUCUAAUCUGUUAUUGUUUUGGGAAAGUGGUUAAAAUGGUAUGAAAUCAUAUCUCAAUUCUCAAUUUCUGAACUUAUCAAAAUCAAAUAUCGACAACAUACUGAAAAAUUGAUAAUUUCAGUGAUUGGGUAAAAAAUGAUCAUUUUAGCCAAAUUCCCUCUUAUUUUCUGUUGUCGUAAUUUAGAUUGCAACUUUUGUAAGUUUUUCUGAUUUUGGUGUUGGUUUUUGUAGUUAAGUAUCAAGGAAUGUGUCAAGCCCCUAUUUGGACAUUCGUUUAGAAUCGACACGUGACGUCACCAAAUACCUGUACAUCUACCAUACCCUACUUCCAGGAUACGGGCCAAACACAACUCACGAUCCAAAAGCAUAGUAAUUUUUUUCGUAUACUUUAUGGCUGCAUCUAACCUCCUCAUUAGAUUGCCUACGUAUCAUAAACAGGGAUCAAGCCAUUCAUAGUUCGUCCUUCACUACCCUUGAACAAUCAUCACAUAAAUAAAUAUGUCUCAAUAUAAUACCUUCAUCCAUACCAUGUAACAUAUCAAAUAACAAACGAAGCACAGUAAUAUUCUCUAGUCAUGUUGCCAUUCACCCACACAUAUGUUUUCCAACACCAUCCAACAAUCACACCAAUCAAUAACACAUACAAUACAUCGACAUGCAGGGCUAAAGUGACAAAGUUCGGUCGAAACCUACAUCUCUAAAGCUGAAAUCGAAUCCAAGGAACCCAAACCACCCCUAGCUCGUCCCAUAUUCCUUCACGAGCCCAGAGCUUAAACUCGAGCAACUCUCGGACCUCACAUCAGAGAAAACAGGAAAUGGAGAACUACGACAAGUUCUCAAAUUCUUUCGACCGAGGUAAAACUCGAAAUACCUUCAAUCUCUACCCUUUUGAUGUUCUGAUUCAAUUUUUGAGUUGUAUACGUGUUGUGACGACGUUUAGGUGCAAAAAUCACUCGAGGAUGAACUCCCUAGUUUUCUGGCGAAGUCCGCAAGUUUCAGACCAUUUUUCUGGCCAAAACCUUUGGGCCAUUGUUCUAGCCCAACCCAACAACUCAGUCAACCUAAUCUAACCUAGCAAACCUGGCCUAACCUAGUGACCCGGAUCUGUGAAACCUGCCCAAGCCUAGAUUCGUGGGCCAGAUCCACCCUGGGAUCCGGCCCGACCCAAUUCCCAAAUGGAUUUGAAAUAUUCCAGAAUAUUCCAAGAAUAUUCUUUGGAAUAUUCCUUGUGUUGACUUUUAUGAUAUUUUCUCACGAACCUUCUUAGACUAAUUUCGACGCCUUGAGUCCGUUUUUGACAUCUAUUUAGUGAAAUUAUAAAGAUUUAAUAUGGUUGACCGGCUCGGUGUCUCGAUUCACUUUUUGGGUCAACUGUUGACUUUUCGUUGACUUUUUACAAAAUUUACCCGGGACUUCUCGUAGGGUAAUUCGACGCGCUGAUUCUGAAUCUGCUGUCUGUUUCUCCAAAUUCAAAUGUUUUAAUUAAGUUUUUACUAAUGGGCCUCUAUUAUGCUUAGGUACUCUUUAGCAUUGGCGAAUUCUUAUUUACAUGUCUGAAUGUCAGUAACCUUGCAAGUACCUGUGAGUGGACCCCUUCUCAAAUUGCAUGUUUUCAUAACUAUUAGGCUUGCAUUCAUGAAAAUAAUAUUUUUUAUAAUUCUACAUUUUAUGAAUUAUUUAUGCUUCAUAUUUGAUUUAUAUUGCUUUCACGAAGUCUUUAUGAAUUAUCUUAAUAGAUUUUGAAGAAUUAUUUAUAAUCCAUUGGUUUAAUGUUUAUGAGAACUCGUAUUUAUGGAAAUCACGUUUAUGGAUUUAUAAGAUUUGAGAUAUGUUUUAUAUACUUAUCUAGUGGGUUAUCAUACAACACAUACACACAACCUGACUAUGUAGACGUCUAUGGCCAUAGGACACAGUUGAGGAUAUUUAUGACAUACUCCCAGCUUUACUGGCGAAACCAGUGUCGGACAACUUUAAUAGCCACGGCUAGUGUCGGUAUGUUAUGUUUAUAGUUAUAUUUUCUUCUCUCGCGUAACCCAGAGUCGUAUAGCUUCACCUUCGGGUGAUGGGACCUACCAUGUUUCUUCACCGGCAUAACCUAGAGUCGUACAACUUCACCUCCAGGUGAUGAUUAUGCCUUCGGGCGACUAUGAUACCCCUAGUUGAGUAUAUCACAGAGUUUAUUUACGAGAUUCUCAUAUCUGCCUUCGGGUGUUACUAUCGAUUUCCAAAGAGGAUUUUAUCGUUACAAAAUUUUUAGCAUGCUAGAGUUUCCAAAAAAACUAUUAUGUAGUAUUAUAUGGGUUUUCAAAACAGAGAGUUAAUAUGUUCAGAAAAAGAAAACGUUUUUUGUAUUAUUACUACUAUUAUUAUAAAUUAUCGUCCACUUACCCUUUCAUUCUUGCGCCCCCUUCAGGAUUUAGAAUCGAGACGUACGAUCCCGGCGUCAGGGCACUUCCGUAUAGGUAUCUUUGAGUCUUCUCAGUGUAUGGCCCAUUUCCCUUGUUCGUGCCUUUUUAUAAUUAUUCUUUCACAUUAUUCUUGCUUAGUUGUAGGCUCUGAACACGUUUCCUUAAUUGCGUAUUUCUUUAUAGUUACAUAUUUUAGUCACUUUUGUUUACUGAUACCACUUGCAUGCAUGUUAAAAUGGCUUCGUCACCUUUAGGUGUCAGCCAGCAUGUGCCUACCCUAGUAUUCGAGGAUAUCGGGGUUGGGGCAUGUCAGCCUGGGUGGUCGUAGGUGCACAGGGGCGCGCGUGGGCCAUCAGACCUUGGGCCUGCGCUGCGUGCUGGGCUAGUGCUUGCUCUUCAUGGGUCUGGGCCUAGCUAGUAGUGAGUUGGGCUCGACUGGUAACGAGCUGGUCCUUAGUCGUCUGCCCAUGGGUUCUUUUUGCUGGUUGGCCAGCUCUGCUGGUCUUCCGUGCACCUGGACCUGCUGCAGUGGCUUAGGCCUCAUUCCCUGGGCCUAAUAUGGCAGCUGUCACGUUUUCGACCUCUUACAUGUGGUUCGUGAGCCCCUGUUUCAACGUAGUUGGCCAUUUGUAGCACGCGCUUGGGCCUCGGCUUAGGCUGCUACUAUGAAAUCACAUUCUUGGAUUUCACUAUUAUAAUUUCCAUGUUUUGUAUUCGCGAAAUUUUAUAUUAUUUUUUGCAAAUUUAAUUUAAUUUAGUUAAUUUAGAAUUUUAAUUCCUUAGUUACAAAGUUUGAAAUUUUGAAAAGAAUCAUUUAAAAUUUGUAGACCUUUCAAGUUCAAAAUUAAUGUUUUCAAAAAAGAUCAAUCAUACGAACGUGUAGGCAAAAGCCGUUCACGAACGGAGCUAUAACAAAGUUAUGAGUGACGAAAGUUGGAGAUAAAUGUUAAUUUAGGAAUUUCUCUAAAUGAAAACUUACUAUUUUUAUUUGGAAGAGGGACCAAUCAGAUUGGGGAAAAGCCCAUUUAAUGGGAGGAUGGACUAAUCAGAAAUGGGAGGAAGGUUGACCAAUCAGAAAAGAUAGAACCAACAGAGCCGAAUCCUCCCUCAACCCGCAGGACCCGGUUUCUGGCGACUUUUGCUUCCUUUUUUUUGUCAAUUUUUCGACGAGUUGGAGACAUCCAUCACCACCACAUGACUCAUCAACCUCCCCUCUUCAAUUCUCACCUAAACUCAACUCAGUUUUACUCUAAUUUCAUGAUGAACUCCUUCGGCGAGUUCAUGAGUCCUGCAUUGGUGAUCUGCCAUUUUUUAAAGUUAUUUUUUUUACCACCACCACCCACAAACACCCUUUAAGCCCAGGAACAUGACCCAAACAAGUUUGGGGUGAACAGAGCAACGAAGAGGAUGAAUCAAAGUGCACCAUUUUUAGGGUUUUCCGAUGGAUCGUGGUAUUAUCAGGCCUUAGACCUCGACCCAUGUAUAAAACUUACUCCCUUCUUCAAGAUCUUUAUUUUGGUAUAAUUUGAGAAAUUUUGGAGUUAGGUGAAUUUUCGAACAAAUCGGGGCGGUCAACCACCUCGUGCGGCAGCGCGUGCUGGUGGCGCAUAGCUCGAGGACCCAUUUGGUCCUUCUUGAGUACAUUUGAUGCCCAAUUCCAUAUUUGAUAUCUGAUUGAAAAAAAUUUGUCGCUUGAACAUAUUUUCGUUAGGGUCCGCCACUUGAAUAUUGUAACUUUGAGAUGUGGAGGCAAUUGAAGAUUAGAGUUUGAUUAUCAAGGAAAUGGAAACAGGCUUCAAGCUUGGUUUGAGAUGUGGAGGCAACUGCUGAUACAUAUAUGUUUGGAUGCUAUGUUUAGAAUUAUUUAAUUUUGCAUUGACAUGGUUAAAAUUCUAGAAGAAAAAAAAUGAGAAAUUUCCUUGUUAUGAUGUUCAAGAUAUGAACUGUGAUAGCCACAACUAUUAUGUCAUAUUUUAGAAGGAAUACUUUUUGCCUUUAGCAACAUUUUUAUUUUGUUGAAAAGAAGGAAGAAAGAUGCUAUUUGUGGCAUUUGUUAUGCUAUUUGUUUCAUAGGAAAUCUGGAAAAAUCUACCAAAAAUCCCUCCAAUUUUUUUUCGUCAGCAAAAUCAAUUCCAAAAGAAAGAUUAAUGAGGCUUUCAAAAAAAUUUUAAAAAAAUUAAAAUGCUCAAAGUCCAAGAAUUCUCACCAAUUUAUUUUAGUCAUUAAAAUUAUACUUAAUGAGGUUUCCAAAAUUCUAGGCACAUUAAAAACAAUAUAAGGGCAAAUUUGGAAAUCAAAUUAAAAUAAUUAAAAUAGAUAAAUCAGAAAUAUAGGAGUGUGGAUUGAGAUUUUGAGGGUGUCAAUAACAGCUACCUAUGCAAUUUUGUUGGUUAUUAUGUACUAAAAUAUAUAAAUACAAAUAUAUAUAGGGAACUGUUAUUAUCACUCCAAAAAUUUUAUUCUACACUCCUCAUAAGUGUAUUUUUUUUUUUAAUUAUAGAAAGUUUGGAGUGUCAAAUGAGAUUUUUUGAGUGUCUAUAUAUAUAUUGUUGAUGCACAAAACCGGAGGUCUUGGAACAACGUAAAUCCGACCGUGAAUCUGCAUAAAAUGUAAAUAACACAAGAUGUAUCGUGGUUCACCCCAAGGUUUGGGCUACGUCCACAUUGAUAGUUGAUUCUGUUUCUCUGUAAUUGUAUGGAUACAAGUGUUUGGGGGAAGUCCCCCGGAGGAGAAAGAAGAGAAGGGAGAGGAGAGCCUCGGUGGUGUGAGGUCUCUCCUGAAUGUAAUGAUAGCUUCUCUUAGCCUUCUUAGGCUUGGCUCUUUUGCCUCCUUUAGAAUGAGGGUAGGAGUCCCCUUUUAUAGAAUAAGGGGCUCCUCCUCUUUUACAAAGUAUGGGCUUUAGUGUGAGGCCCAAAUACAAGGCCCAAGGCCCAAAUAUACGAGGCCCUAAAUAUGGUAUAAACAUAUAUAUAUUUGUUAAAUAGUUUUUUUUUUAUUUUUUUUAUUUUUGGAAAAUAAUUUAUAACGGGCAUUAGCUGUGGUCAAUUAGUAAUCGACAAUGGUCAUAGCAUGUGGUGUUAAACCCCAAUCCACCAAGGGUACAAUCCAUGGUUAUAUUGCAAUUGACAACGGGUAUAGCCUGUCGUAGAAACUGAGACUUUUUAUUACAUCUAGAAUACUAAUGAACACAGUAUCCGUGGUGGAUUGUAAUUUAUCACGGGUAGGUGUAGUAUUGGUACAAUUACCAUACCAAAACCCAUGUACCAACCUUAUGAUAUGACAAAAUCUAUUACCAUUACCGUGCCAAACUUUCGGUAUACCGAAUUUCGGCAUGCCAAAUAGUUUGAUCGGCAUGGUAUGGUGAUGAUAAUUACCACUUUGUUUUGGGCCAAAAUUUGAUUUUCUUUUUCUUUUUCUUUUUCCACCCAAUUCAAGGCCCAAACGUGUUUUGGCCACUUUUUUUGGCUUUCUAAAACUUUUUAAUUUAAUUAUGAGAAUUUUAUAGAGAUUCAUUUAAGAAACAAGAAGUAAAUAAAUAGAAGAAUUGCUGAAAGAACCCAACAUCCCAGAAAAAAAAUACCUCAAAGAUUCUUAAAUUCCAUUUCUACAUUAUUUAAAAUUGUACAAAAAUUAACUUGAUAGACGAAGCUAGGGAGAAAGACAUCUCAAUUUGAUGAAGGAGAAGAUGAGAUGGAUUGCGAAGAGAGAGAAUCUUCGGAACGGGAGCAACAUAGAUGAAGCUGAUGGCUAGAUGAGAGAAAAAAUGAAGAGUCGCAGAAUAAGAAGGCUUAUGUUUUUUAUUGGGAAAGUAGAGGCUAAACGGUGAGAUGAUUUGAUAAAUGACUAGGAAAAAAAUAUAUAAAAUGCAUACAUAAUGAUAAUAAUACAUAAUUAUAUAUAAAAAUGAAUAAAUAAACGGUAUAAUAUUAAUAGUGGUGGUACGGUAGGGUAUACCAUUGGUAAUAGUUUUAAGUAUCAAUAUUGUACCGAAAAUGUAUGGUACGGUAUAAAUACCGUACCAUUACCAAUGGUACAAAUUUUUUGGCACAACUUCUGUAUGGUAGGGUUGGUAAUUCGGUUAGUAUGGUAAUUUGGCAAAAAAUUUCAUCCCUCACAGGCAUUCAUCUAGAUAGAUGAACUUUUUUUUCCUAAUGUGUACCACUUAUGUUAUGAGCAUAAAGAAAAAUUUCUCUGAACAAGGAGCAAGUGGGAAUAAUAAAUCUGAACUAUAGCACGUACACGUAGAUAACAAGACGAGGAAAAGCAUCGAGGCAACGUUCUCCGAGAAGCUUUCAGGAACAAGAUCCGUUGACGACGAAGUAGACUUUCCUGUGCAUAGUCGACUUGGUGGGAAGUUUCCUCGUGGGGCCAUUUGAUUGGUGGGACAAAGACGUCCGUAAUUAUAAUUAUAAUGAUAGGAUUGAUUCCUCUACUCUAGAUUGAAUUGGAGCUGAAUGAUUGAAUUUGUAAGGCCCUGAUUGGGGGGAUUCCUCAUUGGUCAUCAUGGCUUUGAUUGAUUAAAUGGACAUAUAGCUAGCUUGAAUUGGAACUGAAUGAUUGCACUUAAACGGUCCUGAUUGGGCGGACUCCUCUUUGGUCAUCAUGGCUCUGAUUGAUAUCAGUAUAAAGAAAGACAUUGACCAUUCUGGUUUCCAACUCUCUCCAUCUACUGUUUUUGAGCAGAUCGGCUAAAGCUUGAAGAUGAACAAGUUGAUAAAGUUUGUUUAUUUUGUGUUUUUGAUUGAGUGUUUGAAUCGGUUUCUUUUUGGUAGGAUAGUAGAGAAAUUGAAAAAGAUAACUUGGAGAUUGGUUUCUGCUAUGCAAAUAAUGCAGCAGCCUUGAUUGAAUAAGAAGAGUGAUUUUUACACAAGAGUAUGGUGCAUUUCCAUCACCCAUACUUUCUACAAAAGGUGAUUGACAAGAGGCCUUAACAACCAUUAAGCCUUACUACUCCAGAUUACAUCUUAACCCUUCAUUUUGGGGUUAAAUGAUUUAAUCUGGAGUGUACAUUUGUCACUCACACACUUACACAAACAUUUAAAAACAAAACUAGCCGUUGGAGACUAGAACCCUUCAUUUUCUUUCUUCUUCUUCGAUGCAGAUGACAUCCUUUUGCUCGGGAGUAUCUUGCUGCCUUCGACUCCCCGACUCCAGGAGCUGGUUAGCUUCCAACACUCCCUUCUAAACUGCUUCUGGGAGUCAAUCCGAGCAAACCCCUCAGGUAAUUGAAUCUCUCCUUCGGUAGUGCUUUUGUGAAUAUGUCUGCGAUCUGAUCUUCUGUGCUGCAAUAGAUUAGCUUGAUUGUGUUGUCUUGCAAUGCUUCUCUGAUGAAAUGAUAUCUUCUCUUGAUGUGUUUUGUUCUCUGAUGAAAUACUGGGUUUUUAGUCAUGGCAAUUGCAGAGGUGUUGUCACACAGAAGUGGUGUGGCUUCAACUUGCAAUUCGCCAAAAUCUUUAAGUAUGAACCUUAGCCAAAUGGCUUGAGAUGUAGCUUCUGAUGCACUUACAUACUCUGCCUCGGCUGUGGACAGUGCAACACUUUGUUGCUUCACAGAGGCCCAUGAAAAAACCCCUGAUCCGAAAGUGAAAGCAUAGCCCGAUGUGCUUCUACUAUCAUCCUCACUGCCACCCCAGUCACUGUCACAGAAUCCAAUUAGAAUAGAUGACUUUCCCAUCUCAUAUUUGAUCCCAUAAUCAAGAGUUCCUUGCACAUAUCUUAGCACUCUCUUAGCCGUGCCCAUAUGUAUCUUGCUAGGAUUCUGCAUAAACCUAGAAAGUAGGCUUGCUGAGAACAUCAGAUCCGGCCUUGUUGCUGUUAGAUACAAUAGACUGCCAACAAUGCUUUUAUAGAGACUAGCAUCUGCAGGUUCACUUCCAUCCUCCUUCUUGAGCUUCUCAUUUGCAAUUAAGGGUGUAGAAAACUGGUUUGCAACCUUUCAAACCAAACUUUUCAAGCAAAGUUUCAGCAUACUUCUUUUGAUGAAUAAAAAUGCUACUUGCUUUUUGAAUUACCCCAAUGCCAAGAAAAUGAUGCAAGAGGCCUAGGUCAGUCAUCUCGUACCUCUUCAUCAUUUCUUCCUUGAACUCUUCCAUCAUUGCAGCAUCAUUUCCAGUGUAGACAACAUCAUCCACAUAGAUUGAGACAAUGAGUGUCUUGUUGUUGCUUUCUGUCUUGGUGUAGAGUGUAGCUUCACUAGGACUUUUCUGAAAUCCUUUCUCAAUGAAAUAUGAAUCAAUCUCACUGUACCAAGCUCUUGGAGCUUGUUUUAGGCCAUAAAGAGCCUUCCUCAACUUGUACACUUUUUCUGGAAACUCUUGAUUUGUGAACCCUUGAGGUUGUUCCACAAACACUUCCUCCUCUAGCACUCCAUUUAGAAAUGCAGAUUUAACAUCCAAUUGAUGCAACUUCCAACCCUUCUUGGCUGCUAGUGCUAUCAAGGUCCUUAUGGUGUCUAACCUUGCUACUGGAGCAAAGGUUUCAUUGAAGUCUACACCAGGUUUCUGUGAGUAACCUUUGGCCACUAACCUGGCCUUGUUCUUUUGCACAGAACCAUCUAGAUUUAGCUUCACUUUGUACACCCAUUUUACACCAAUCACAGGCUUCUCACUUGGUCGAUUUACAAGUUCCCAAGUGUCAUUCUUUUCUAUCAUUUCAAGCUCUUCCUUCAUUGCUUUCUUCCAAGCUUUGUCUUUCUCAGCUUCUUCAUACGUUUCUGGUUCUACUACACAGUAAUUACAUGUAGCAUAAAUCUCAUCCAGAUUUCUCAAUCUUACUGGAGUUGAACUAGGAGUUGUUGUCUGUGAUUGACUUGAUUGUGGACUCAUAGUAGCUUGCUGUGGAGUCCCUUGUAUGUCACCAUUAUCUGUGACUUCUUCUUGAACUGAGGUCUCUAUAGGCUCCCUUGUUUGCCUUUUGUUUAGGUCAAUUUGUAGAGAGACACUGUCCUUUUCCUCUACCAUUGUAUCCCAGUUCCACAUUGAGUCUUCAUCAAAGAUAAUAUCCCUUGAUAGGAUUAUCUUUUGAGUCAAUACAUUAUAAACUCUGUAUCCUUUCUCACUGGUACCAUAGCCUACAAAAACACCCUUGUUACUUGAUUUCUCCAACUUGUGCCUUAGUUGAUGAGGGAUGAGAUUGUAGCAUACUGAGCCAAACACUCUCAGAUGCUUCACAGAAGGCUUCCUUCCACUGAACACUUCAAAUGGAGUCUUCUUCUCCAAUGCCUUAGUAGGACACCUAUUCAAUAGAUACACUGAGGUGUGUUCACAGCUUCACCCCAAAAUUUAUAAGGCAUGUUCUUCUCAUGCAUCAUAGACUUAGCCAUUUCGACUAUAGUCCUAUUCUUCCUUUCUGCAAUCCCAUUCUGUUGUGGUGUAUAUGCCACAGUGAGUUGCUUCUCUAACCCUACAUCUUCACAAAAUACAUUGAACUCAUGUGAGGUGUACUCACCACCCCUAUCACUUCUUAGUCUUUUGAUUUGGUAUCCACUUUGCAAUUCCACCAUUGCCUUAAACUUCUUGAAUAUUGUGAAUACCUCAGACUUGAACCUCAUGAAAUACACACCACACAUCCGUGAAUAAUCAUCAUCAUGAAGGUUAGGAAAUACCUGUUUCCACUGAUUGUUGUUGUUCUCAUUGGUCCACACACAUCUGAGUGAAUCAAUUCGAGUGGCUUUGUUGCCCUCCAAGCCUUUCCAGCUUCAAAUGAAUCUCUGUGAUGCUUGCCAAACACACACCCUUCACAGAUUUCAUUGCAUUGAUCCAUUUUUUGGUAUACCUUGCACCAUUUCAUCCUUUUGCAGAUUUUGUAAGCUUGUCAUGUUUAAAUGACCAAGUCUCUUGUGCCAUAGUUUCAUAGAACUUGUCACACUUGCUUUCUUUGCCACUUCUUCUAAGUACUUCAGUACAAGUGGAAAGCUUCUGUUUUUCACUUCCACUUUGGUCACCAAGUUUGAUAGGGAUCUGUCAUCAUAGAUCUCAACCACAGUCCCCCCAAAGAGUAGGAAAUAGCCAUGCUCCAUCAUUUGACCCACACUAAGUAGAUUCUCAUCCAAUCCAGGCACUAGCAUCACCUCCCUUAUACAUCUUCUUCCUUUCUUGGUGUUGAUAACCAGAGUUCCUCUUCCAGUGGCUUUGACAAUGUUUCCAUCACCCAUUUUCACUUUUCCAGUGAAGUUUGUGUCGAUGUCAAUAAGUAAAGACUCAUGUGCAGUCAUGUGGUUGCUGCAGCCACUGUCAAUGUACCACACUUCAUUGUUUCUCUCCAUUUUUGCAUUGAAAGCACAGAACACAUUUGCUUCUUCUUCCACUUGAUUUGCACAGUUUACUUGUUGCACAUUCUUUGAUCUGCAGUCCUUCAUAAUGUGCCCAAACCUGUUGCAUUUGUGGCAUCUAGGCUUGUCCUUGAACCAACACUCUCCAAGGUGGAAUUUAUCACAGUGCUUACAUUGCUGCUUGGUUCUUGGACCUACAUUGGUGUUGCUGCCUUGGUUAGGUCUUGAGUUGUGAUACCCUUUUCCUUCCCAUUUCUUGCUUUUGCCCUUCCACUGUGGUUUCUGAUUGCUUGCACUGGCUUGACUGCUAGAUCCAACAUUGAGUGUUUGAAAGGCUUUCUCAGGUGCAGAGUCAGCAUGCCUCUCGAGCCUUUGAUCAAAAGCUCUUAAGGAUGCCAUCACCUCUUGUACACUGAGUGUUUCAGUGUCUUUGGUUUCUUCUAUAACACUCACUAUUGAAUCAUAGGGUUUAGUCAAACUAAUCAACAGUUUUUGGACAAUUCUUUCAUUAGGCAGUUCCUCACCAUAUGUUUUCAUCUUGUUUACAACAUCAUCAAACAGCCUAGUGAAGUAGUCUUUUAACAGCUCAUUUUUCCCUCAUUCUUGUAUACUCAAAAUCUCUUCUAAGGGACUGAAGUUUUACCUUUCUAACUUUGGUGUCUCCUCUGUAUUCUUGCUGUAAAACUUCCCAAGCUCCCUUUGCAGUCUCUUCAUUUGCUAUCCUCGGAAAAAUGGUGUUGUCUGAGACAGCACCUUGAAUGAUUCCAAGUGCUCUAGCAUCCUCCAUCCGAUUCUGCUUCAGUGUUUUGAGUUGUGUUUCUGUGAGAUCCUCCUCUAGAGCAUCGAUCUCCAUCUCAGGUAGUUCAUACCCAUGUUGAACCAUAUAUCCCAUAGAUCAUAGGAUUUGAAAAUGGUUGUCAUUCUUAUUCUCCAAAAAUCAUAAUUCUCCCCAUCAAAGACUGGAGCUUUUAGCUCACUGCUACUGCUGGAUCCUUUCAUUUCCAGAAUUGUUUGUUGAUUAUUGUUAUAGAAGACACUACGUUGGUGCUCCCAAAGAUCUUAUCUUGCACAGAUUACGCCCCGAAAGUUGUAAGAUCAAUAACAAAGCUCUGAGGCCAUGAUAAAGUUUGUUUAUUUUGUGUUUUUGAUUGAGUGUUUGAAUCGGUUUCUUUUUGGUAGGAUAGUAGAGAAAUUGAAAAAGAUAACUUGGAGAUUGGUUUCUGCUAUGCAAAUAAUGCAGCAGCCUUGAUUGAAUAAGAAGAGUGAUUUUACACAAGAGUAUGGUGCAUUUCCAUCACCCAUACUUUCUACAAAAGGUGAUUGACAAGAGGCCUUAACAACCAUUAAGCCUUACUACUCCAGAUUACAUCUUAACCCUUCAUUUUGGGGUUAAAUGAUUUAAUCUGGAGUGUACAUUUGUCACUCACACACUUACACAAACAUUUAAAAACAAAACUAGCCGUUGGAGACUAGAACCCUUCAUUUUCUUUCUUCUUCUUCGAUGCAGAUGACAUCCUUUUGCUCGGGAGUAUCUUGCUGCCUUCGACUCCCCGACUCCAGGAGCUGGUUAGCUUCCAACACAAGUAAGUCAACUUCAAACUCCUCGUAUCCUUAUUUUUCUUUGAAUCCUUUGUCGUUGAUUGAUCUUAUACUGUCUUGAUUAAGCAGACAUUGUUCUGAAAUGGCUGAAGGGUGUUUUUCAACAAGUAAAAGCUCUUACGGUUAAAUCUGGCAAAAGAAACUUACAAAACGCUUUUAGAUAGUGUAAGCUCUUUUCGGAGAAGCACUUGCUAUGGCUAGACUUUUACCAAACACAAUUUUAGCUCCAACUUUUCUAAAAACUGUUUUUAAAAAUAAAAUUGAGCAACCUCAGACCCGCCCAUGUCAACAUUCAAGUUUUCAAGUGCUUUUUCAAAGAGCACUUGAGUAUUUAAUAAACAUGUCUAAUCUGUUCAUAGUAAAAGAGAACUGCUUAUGAGUAGAGUGUUUCUUACGAGUACAAUGGCUUUAUAAUCGUCCUUAUAAUUUACCCAUGUGGAAUUUCAUUCUUACUAGUGUUUUGCUAAAGUGACUUCACUAGAAAUACGGCGAAAGUUCUUUAGAAAACACUUCUCCUACUCGUAUACAUUUUUAAGUUUUUCUUUCAAUAUAAUGAAAAACAUUUUUUAUCGUUAGAUUGACAUUGUUAGCUAUUUCAAAAGCAGUUUCAAACGUGUUUAUUAUUAUAUGGUUGGGUGUUAUUUGCUUACAUACUCCAUUUAACUUUGUUUCAAUAUUUUGUUGGUGAUGACAGUAUUAGCAGUGCUGGGCUUGAACUAGAAAAUGUGCUGGUGACUUCUCCUCCCCUGCACCAGUCAUGGGACGCUGUUCAGAAGCAAAAGCUCAACACAGCUCCUGAUCCGAAUGCACAAACGGCCUUAUAUGUUACUGAAACCAAGCACUCAAACACCACCAUCAUAUCUUUUCUUACUUCACCCGUCACACUUCAAGAUCAACAAGCGAUGAUUUCGUCGUUGACUCUCAGGGACAAAAAAUUUCCCCUCUUUGAGUUUUUGUGCACCAAAUACAACACAAGUUUCACCGUCAAUGAUUUGGCAAUCAAAUUCUUCGCCUUGAAUUACGACAACCUCAACCUCGAUCUUCUGAGAACAAAGGUGCAUAUUGUUGUCUCUCUGAUAACUGAUAGUGUUUAACCGCUUAGACUAUUAAUGUUAGUGAGAAACAUUUAAAAAUCAUGUUUAUAAUGUUAGAUUAUGUUAGCGUGAUACACAUACAAACCCCUCAUUAAUACUGUUAUAAGGGUGCAUUUGUUAUCUCGGACUUGACUAGCUUGCUUGGUUUGGACUAUGCAGGAUAAGAAUAGUGGGCUCAAACAAUUAAUUUCAAUUUUCUUUUAAUUUUUUUACUUCUCCCUCCACCUGUUACACACCUCACUCAAUAAAAUGUCCUACGAACACC